rnacentral:rRNA from 1 species
GGGCCCGCACAAGCGGAGGAACAUGUGGUUUAAUUCGAUGAUACGCGAGGAACCUUACCCGGGCUCGAACGGCUUUAGAAUACAUUAGAGAUAGUGUAGCCAGCAAUGGCUGAAGUCGAGGUGCUGCAUGGUUGUCGUCAGCUCGUGCCGUGAGGUGUCGGCUUAAGUGCCAUAACGAGCGCAACCCUUGUUGUUAGUUGCCAGCGGGUCAUGCCGGGGAUUCUAACGAGACUGCCAGCGUAAGCUGUGAGGAAGGGGGGGAUGACGUCAAAUCAGCACGGCCCUUACGUCCGGGGCGACACACGUGUUACAAUGGUGAGUACAGAGGGCAGCUACCUGGUGACAGGAUGCAAAUCUUCAAAACUCAUCUCAGUUCGGAUUGGAGUCUGCAACUCGACUCCAUGAAGUUGGAUUCGCUAGUAAUCGCGCAUCGGCCACGGCG